UACGUAGGGGGCAAGCGUUGUCCGGAUUUAUUGGGCGUAAAGAGCGUGUAGGCGGCCAGGUAGGUCCGUUGUGAAACCUGGAGGCUCAACCUCGAGACGUCGGUUGAAACCGUAUGGCUAGAGUCCGGAAGAGGAGAGUGGAAUUCCCGGUGUAGCGGUGAAAUGCGCAGAUAUCGGGAAGAACACCCGUGGCGAAGGCGGCUCUCUGGGACGGUACUGACGCUGAGACGCGAAAGCGUGGGGAGCGAACAGG
rnacentral:rRNA from 1 species